rnacentral:rRNA from 1 species
AUUGAACGCUGGCGGCAGGCCUAACACAUGCAAGUCGAACGGUAACAGGAAGACGCUUGCUUCUUUGCUGACGAGUGGCGGACGGGUGAGUAAUGUCUGUGAAACUGCCUGAUGGAGGGGGAUAACUACUGGAAACGGUAGCUAAUACCGCAUAACGUCGCAAGACCAAAAAGGGAGACCUUCUGGCCUCUUGCCGUCGGAUGUGCCCAGAUGGGCUUAGCUAGCAGGCGGGGGCACGGCUUACCGAGGCGACGAUCCCUAGCUGCUCUGAGCGGAGGACCCGCUACCCUGUAUGUGAGACACGGCACACACUCCUACGCGAGGCCGCAGUCGGGAAUAUUGCGCGAUGCGGGAGAGGCUAAUGCAGCCAAGCCGCGUGUAGGAAGAAGGACUUCGGGUGGUAAAGUGCUUUCAGCGGGGAGGUUGGAAGUAAAGUUAAUCCCGGUGCUCAUUGACGUUACCCGCAGAAGAAGCACCGGCUAACUCCGUG